CGAUGCUGAGGAUGUCGAGGUUCUUCGGUCGGGCUCGCCCCCGCCGAAGCUAAGACGGGAAGCCGGUGCGAUGCCGGCGCUGCCCCCGCAACUGUAAGCGGCGAGCGGUUGGUCGAUAUGUGUCACUGGCGGCGUUCGCGCAGCCGGGAAGGCCAGACCAUCCGUGCUGACCCGCGAGCCAGGAGACCUGCCUCCGACGCGAUAACGUC
rnacentral:ncRNA from 2 species